CAAUAGCGUAUACUAAAGUUGUUGCGAUUAAAAAGCUCGUAGUUGGAUCUCAGGCAUGGGCGCACGGUCCGCCUCGCGGCGGUCACUGUGUGUUUUGUUUCCCAUCCUACGCUUCCCGGUUAUCAGCCCCUGGUGCUCUUCACUGAGCGUUUUGGGUGGCCGGAACGUUUACUUUGAAGAAAUUAGAGUGUUCAAAGCAGGCACGUCGCCUGAAUAAUGGUGCAUGGAAUAAUGGAAUAGGACCUCGGUUCUAUUUUGCUGGUUUUCGGAACACGAGGUAAUGAUUAAGAGGGACAGACGGGGGCAUCCGUAUUGCGGUGUUAGAGGUGAAAUUCUUGGAUCAUCGCAAGACGAACAACUGCGAAAGCAUUUGCCAAGCAUGUUUUCAUUAG
rnacentral:rRNA from 1 species